AUUGAACGCUGGCGGCAGGCUUAACACAUGCAAGUCGAGCGGAGAUGAGGUGCUUGCACCUUAUCUUAGCGGCGGACGGGUGAGUAAUGCUUAGGAAUCUGCCUAUUAGUGGGGGACAACAUUCCGAAAGGAAUGCUAAUACCGCAUACGUCCUACGGGAGAAAGCAGGGGAUCUUCGGACCUUGCGCUAAUAGAUGAGCCUAAGUCGGAUGAGCUAGUUGGUGGGGUAAAGGCCUACCAAGGCGACGAUCUGUAGCGGGUCUGAGAGGAUGAUCCGCCACACUGGGACUGAGACACGGCCCAGACUCCUACGGGAGGCAGCAGUGGGGAAUAUUGGACAAUGGGGGGAACCCUGAUCUAGCCAUGCCGCGUGUGUGAAGAAGGCCUUAUGGUUGUAAAGCACUUUAAGCGAGGAGGAGGCUACUGAGACUAAUACUCUUGGAUAGUGGACGUUACUCGCAGAAUAAGCACCGGCUAACUCUGUGCCAGCCGCCGCGGUAAUAC
rnacentral:rRNA from 1 species